CCUACGGGUGGCAGCAGUGGGGAAUAUUGGGCAAUGGGCGCAAGCCUGACCCAGCAACGCCGCGUGAAGGAAGAAGGCUUUCGGGUUGUAAACUUCUUUUCUCAGGGACGAAGCAAGUGAUGGUACCUGAGGAAUAAGCUACGGCUAACUUAGGGCCAGCAGCGGCGGUAAUACGUAGGUGGGAAGCGUUAUCCGGAUUUACUGGGUGUAAGGGGCGUGUAGGCGGGACGGCACGUCAGAUGUGAAAACCAUGGGCGCAAGCUAUGGCCUGCAUUUGAAACUGUAGUGCUUGAGUACUGGAGAGGCAGACGGAAUUCCUAGUGUAGCGGUGAAAUGCGUAGAUAUUAGGAGGAACACCAGUGGCGAAGGCGGCCUGCUGGACAGCAACUGACGCUGAGGCGCGAAAGCGUGGGGAGCAAACAGGAUUAGAUACCCUUGUAGUC
rnacentral:rRNA from 1 species